UAGGGAAUCUUCCGCAAUGGGCGAAAGCCUGACGGAGCAACGCCGCGUGAGUGAUGAAGGUCUUCGGAUCGUAAAACUCUGUUAUUAGGGAAGAACAAAUGUGUAAGUAACUACGCACGUCCUGACGGUACCUAAUCAGAAAGCCACGGCUAACUACGUGCCAGCAGCUUCGGUAAUACGCAGUUGGCAAGCGUUAUCCGGAAUUAUUGGGCGUAAAGCGCGCGUAGGCGGUUUUUUAAGUCUGAUGUGAAAGCCCACGGAUCAACCGUGGAGGGGCAUUGGAAACUGGAAGACUUGAGUGCAGAAGAGGAAAGUGGAAUUCCAUGUGUAGCGGUGAAAUGCGCAGAGAUAUGGAGGAACACCAGUGGCGAAGGCGGCUUACUGGUAUGUAACUGACGAUGAUGUGCGAAAGCGUGGGGAUCAAACAGG
rnacentral:rRNA from 1 species